AUACGGAGGGUCCAAGCGUUAUCCGGAUUCAUUGGGUUUAAAGGGUGCGCAGGCGGGCUUGUAAGUCAGUGGUGAAAUACUGCCGCUUAAUGGUAGAACUGCCAUUGAUACUGCAAGUCUUGAAUAUGGUUGAGGUAGGCGGAAUGUGUUGUGUAGCGGUGAAAUGCAUAGAUAUGACACAGAACGCCAAUUGCGAAGGCAGCUUACUAAGCCAUUAUUGACGCUGAGGCACGAAAGCGUGGGGAGCGAACAGGAUUAGAAACCCCGGUAGUCC
rnacentral:rRNA from 1 species